UUUUUUUUUUUUUUUUUUUUUUUGGUUUUUAGGGCUGCACUUGCAGCAUAUAGAAGUCCCCCCCAGGCUGGGUGUUGAAUCGGAACUGCAGCCGCCAUCCUACAGCCACAGCAACACAGGAUCUGAGCUGCAUCUGUGACCUACACCACAGCUCACAGUAAGGCUGGAUCCUUAACCCACUGAACAAGGCCAGGGAUCAAACCUGCAUCCACAUCCUCAUGGAUACUAGUUCGGUUUGUUACUGCUGAGCCACAGCGGGAACUCCCUCUACCAUAAUGACUCUUACUGAACAAGUCAAGGAAUAAAUCUGAGGGGUUUUUCCUGUUUUUAAGUAUAACCAUCCCUGGAGUUCCCAUCAUGGCACAGCAGAAAUGAAUCCAACUAGGAAACAUGAAGUUGUGGGUUCAAUCCCUGGCCUCGCUUAGUGGGUUAAGGAUCCGGCAUUGCUGUGAGCUGUGGGGUAGGUCUCAGACACGGCUCGGAUCUGAUGUUGCUGUGGCUAUGGUGUUGAUUGGCAGCUGUAGCUCCAAUUGGACCCAUAUCCUGGGAACCUCCAUUUGCCACUGGUGUACUCAGGAACCUGACAACCGUUGGUAGGUUUGUGCACUCAUUGUACCCACCAAGAGAUGAACGUGAGCUAGGACAUCAUUUAUCUCUUGACUUUCACUUGGGGACUCUGAUGGCAUAUCAGGUCCCCUGGUCUUCAUAUCAGCCCAGACUGUGCAAUGGGUCUGGGUAUUCCCAUUUCCCUAGAGUCUGGAAAAUGGCUACAUGUUCUUUUGGGGAAGGAAUGGGGAAAUGCUUAUGUAUGUAUUUGCCAUGGCAUUGCAAAGUCUUUUAUCAAGGGGAUUAGGCUUCCUCUUCAAUCAGUUGGCUCUGGGUCUCAGAAUUGUCCUGUGACUGGAAAAUGAGAUUGCAGGUACCCAGUGUGGUGAUUGAUAUCAGCCUUUUGCUCAUUAGCUUUCAAUUUUUGUGUGGUUAUGUAAACCAAGUAAUAAUCUAAUCUGUCGUCCAUCUGUAUGGUUCCUAGUAACGCCAUGGUCUAUCUGCCAUUGCCACAGAUACUGGUAGGUCAAGGAACCUUGACUAUCACUCCAGCCUUGGUCUGUAUUUUAAUAAUUAUAUUCAUACUGGCUCUUUAUUUUAUUUUUAUUUUGACUGUGCCUGUGGCAUCAAAGGCAGGGAUUGAAACCACACCACAGCCGUGACCUGAGCCACCGCAGUGACAACACCAGAUCCUUAACCCACUGAACCACCAGAGAACUUCGUCUUGACUCUUUAGAUUAGGUCAUCUGGCCUCGGCUAUUCUGGUAUCCUAUCACUCCAGUUGGUGAUAGAGAGCUUGACUCCACAGAAGAAUCUCCAGCAUUCAGUGAUAAUGUACAGAGCACGUUUAUUGCUGGAAUUCUCAGAGGUGCUCGUGCCUCUUUACCAGUGUUAUCUCUUAUUGCUCUUGUGAUGGAGUGCCCUCUGGGCCUUGCUGGGGGACCUAGUUAGGUAUCAGAAGUCAUAUAACAACCAUUCUAACAUUUAUACUUUCCUGAACCUUCUUCCUCAACACUCUGUCAAGGCAGUUUUAGCAUUUCUGUCUCAGCGUUGUUUCCAAGCUUCCAAGAGUUAUCCCAAUAGGAUUUGGGGACUGACUUCAGGUGUCCUUGUCAGGACAGUGAGCUCCAGGUCAUGAAAGAAUGCUCCCAUGCCAAUAAUUGCUCCCUUAUCCUGCCUUAUAUUUAUCCCUCUAAAUAAAUAAUAAUUGCUCCCUUAUCCUGUCUAACAUCCUUAAGUUCCAUUCCUAUACACGCCCCAGUUCCUGUUGCUACAUGUUGGCCAGGUGUUCAGAUUUACAGAGUGUGUAUGUGAAAUGCUUCUAGAGAAGGAAUUCCCACUUAGAUUGUGCUCAGACUUGUUCCUGGUCAUUGGUUUGAAGGCAGGUAGAGAAGAUGGAGCCAGAUCUAGAGAAGAAUAAGCACCAUGUUGUGAAAUACCUGCCUCAGAUGAGGUCUUCCAGGAGUCUCCAUUUGAAUGGAGGUGGUUCUCCUUUAACAAGGGGGAAGGAUCUGCUUUUACCAACUUGGCAGAUUAAAAGAUAUCAGGGUUCAAGGUUGUUAGGCCCAUGUUAGGCUCAUCCCCAUCUUAGGUCUCUGAUUCUCACUAUCAUCCUAUCAGGAUGUUGAUCUUGAUGUGAGACCUCUUUAGGCGAUUGUUUAGUAUUCUUUGUGCUCUGUUAGCCAAGCAGUUAAAUCCUGGACUUGAUUUUCAGCCCCCCGUGGAAAAGGAUAAGAACCUCUUUAAACACUGCCAUGGAGGCUUUCUUACUUUCACAGUGUGUCUAGAGUUGUCUGAUUGACCUGAGCCUAUCUUAAAUUUUUUCAUCAAGGCAUUUGAGGACAUGAACAAAAGUCAGCCAAACCCAUACAGUCUUUCUUACUUAUCACCAGUCAUGGAGUCCUUACCAGUGUUUGACCUAUAAGUGACCCAGUUCUGGAAUUGUCUAUGGAGGGGCUGUUUUCUAGAGCUGCUUUUGCUGCCAAAUGUUUUAGCCUUGGUUUGUCAAAAAGGCAGAAGCCUGUGACAAGGAUUUUCAUGAUGAUCAUUGUUUUGGAAAAUAAUCCUCCAAGGAACAGAAGAAGGGAGAAUGAAGAGCAGGAAAGGAGGAAAAGAUAACCCAAGAGCACCUUCCCAAGUUGACCCCACUGUGGGGAGCUAGAGGUUCAUCCUGCUGGGGAUGCCCUGGAAAGUCACAUAGAGUGUGCAUAAGAGUUGUUGCUUGAAAGAGAAGAAGGGAAUGUUUAUACUGACUCCUGUUCUUGGGUGAGGAUGGUCCCAAUGGGUAUUAACCCUCUUGCAUUUCCAGUUUUUAGAAAAAUUAUUUGGUUCUUUUGAAUGCUCUAAAGAUGAUCAUGAAAUUUUUUUUUUGAGGGUUUUUUGUUUUUGGUUUUUGGUUUUUUAGGGCUGCACCUGCAGCAUAUGGAAGUUACCAGUCUAGGGGUCCAGUCAGAGCUGCAGCUGCCAGCCUAUGCCACAGCCGCAGCAACCCCCGAUCCGAGCAUCAUCUGUGACCUACACCGAAGCUCACCACAAUGCCGGAUCUUUUAACCCACUGAGCAGGGCCAGGGAUUGAACCCUCAUCUUCAUGGAUACUAGUCGGGUUCGUUACCACUGAGCCACAAAAGAGCUCCAAUCGAAGUUUUUUCUUUUAAAAAAGUAUCAUUAUAAAAGUAUGGAUUUUAACAUAUUUUAUAUGUUACACUCUACUACAAUUAUUAUUCCUGUUGAUAAUAUUCCAUCAUUGGCUCCUCGGAGCCCCUUCAAAUUGUUUCAGUUUUGACUGUGGGAACCUCUUCAAACUGGCUCCUGUGGACUUUUUGAUGUGCCCAUGGUGGGCUUUAACAGCUUCCUUGUUUUCUAGUAUGGAUAGGUAUUCCAGGCUCAUUCCUGCUCUAGACAGGAACUCAUCUAUUUUCCCAGGGAGCUCUGGUUCCUUUUCGUGGGAAGUAGUGUUUGGAGAAUACAAUCUGGGCGCUAGGGGUCCUCAUUGGGCUGGUCCUUGCUUCUAGGUAGAAGCUAGAAAUACAUAUUCCUGUAUGAAAAAGGAAAAUAUCUCAGAAGUUAAUAAUCAUAUUUCCAAUUCAAGUAAAAUAUCACAUUUUAAAACCUAUCUUCUUUAUGUUUGUGUCUCUUUAUUCUUACUCAUUAGUAUAAUUACUUAAUUUGCCUUAGCUCAUCUAUGUGUAUAUAUAACAGUUUUGAACAUCAUUAGCAAAUUACUUAUUUGUGGAGUUCCUGUCGUAGCUCAAUAUGUUAAGAACCCGACUAGUAUCCAUGAGGAUUCAGAUCUGAUUGCAGGCCUUGUUCAGUGGGUUAAACGAUCCGGUGUUGCUGUGAGCUGUGGUGUAGGUCGCAGAUGCGGCUUGGAUCUGGUAUUGUUGUGGCUUUGGCAUAGGCCAGGAGAUGUAGCUCUGAUUCGACCCCUGCCCCGGGAACUUCCAUAUGCUGCAGGUGUGGCCCUGAAAAAGAAAAAAAAAA
ensembl:lncRNA